rnacentral:rRNA from 1 species
AUAGAUAAAAAUUUAUGAUUUUUAAAAUUUAUUUAAAAUUUAUUUUACAUGUAAAUUUUAGUAUGGAAUUUAUUAUUUAUUUUAAUAAUAAAAUUAAUUAACAGUAAUUAAUAUUAAAAAUUUAAGAAAUUAAGAUUUAGUAAUAUUAUAAUUAUUAACAAAUUUUGUGCCAGCAGUUGCGGUUAUACAAAAAUUAAAUUAAAUUUUUUCAGUUAUAAUUAAUAUUAUAAUUAUGAUUUUAAAUUAAAUUUUAAAUUAUUAGGUGAAAUUUUAAUUUAAUAAAAAUUUAUAAUUAAUAUAUGAUUUAAUAAUUUUAGAAGAAAACUAGGAUUAGAUACCCUAUUAUUUUAAAUUUAAAUUAUAAUACUAAAAUAGUAAAUAAUUUUUUAUUGAAACUUAAAUAAUUUGGCGGUAUUUUAGUUCAUUUAGAGGAAUCUGUUUAUUAAUUGAUAAUCCACGAAUAAAUUUACUUAAUUUAAUAUUUUGUAUAUCAUUGUUAAAAAAAUAUUUUAUAAUAAGAAUAAUAUUUUAAAAUUAAAAAAAAAAUUAAUUCAGAUCAAGAUGCAGAUUAUAAUUAAGAAUAUAAUGGGUUACAAUAAUUUUAUUUAAAUGAAUAUUAAUUUGAAAUAGGUUAAUUGAAGGUGGAUUUAAAUGUAAUUUUAUUUAAUUUAUUAAAAUGAUUAUAAAUUAAGGUAUGUACAUAUUGCCCGUCACUUUCAUUUUAAAAUUGGAAUAAGUCGUAACAAAGUAGAGAUACUGGAAAGUGUUUCUAGAAAGAA